rnacentral:rRNA from 1 species
AUACGUAGGGGGCUAGCGUUAUCCGGAUUUACUGGGCGUAAAGGGUGCGUAGGUGGUGUCUUAAGUCAGGAGUGAAAGGCUACGGCUCAACCGUAGUAAGCUCUUGAAACUGGGGAACUUGAGUGCAGGAGAGGAAAGUGGAAUUCCUAGUGUAGCGGUGAAAUGCGUAGAUAUUAGGAGGAACACCAGUAGCGAAGGCGGCUUUCUGGACUGUAACUGACACUGAGGCACGAAAGCGUGGGGAGC